rnacentral:lncRNA from 1 species
AUUCAUUUAACAAAUACUUUGGAGUGUUUACCAUGUGCCAAGUGCUGUUCUAAUAGACAUAAGCUGUGAGGCUAUGCUUAUCUGAUUCUCACAGCAACUGCUUUCGAGAUAUGAAUUGGUAUACUCAUUCGACAGAUGAGGAAACUGAAUUCAUGUAGUGAGAAAGGAAGAGCUGGAAUUCAGGGUUAGUGGUUUCGCCUGCACUAAGCACUGAGCCACACUAGACGAGAAGGAAUGAGGAAGACAAAAGUGAGAAGGCACUCAGGAAAUAUUAGUUGCAUGAAUGAAGGCUGCAUUUUCAUUAGAACAACAUGCAGUUCAACCCCUUCAUGUUUCAAUGAGGGUUCAGAUACCCAGAGGGCUAUGUGAUCAUCCUGGAGCCCACUCUGCUAACAAUUAGCAGAACGGAAGCCUUAAUUUCCAGAAUCUAGUGAACUUGAUGAGUCAAGACCAUUGCAAUUGGAAAUCUGUUCUCCUCUGCUGCUGCAUCCCCCGCUUAAUACUCAAGCCAGAAACCAGGAAGGCUGUGGCUUGCCUUUUCACUUCUUGUGUCCUGUUUAAGAAAUAUCUGCUAUCCCAAGCAUCUGGCAUCUUUCUUGACAUACGUAGCAGUUGCUUUUUGACAGCUUGCUUCUGGAGUGAAUGAAUAAAUUAAUAAAUUUAUUCAUUUGAUAUUCAGUGACAUGUGAUAUUCAGUGAUCCAUUUUGCAGAUUGCAAACUCCUAGAGAAGGGCUCAACAGUGAGUGUUGAGGCUGCACAGAGGAGGAAGGUAGCACAAUGAUGGAAGGCUUCCUAAAGAGGCUCUUGAGUUUCUGCUUUCAAGUGACCCUCAGAAAUGCCCCCAUUCACUGCAGAGGUUCUGUUUCUCCUUGUUUUGUUCCGACUUUAUGGCAGAACUAGGUUAAUGAGUUAAUUACUAUGAGUUAUCACUUGGAUUUGAAGAACCAUCAUUUCUAGGCUUUGCUGCUCAGAGUGGGUUUGCCCUCAGGGGAAGCUAUCUAACCAGAGCCUAACCCACUAGGGUUUUAUCAGAACCUAACUGGCCUGAGGAAAAGAAAUAUUCAACUCCAGCAAGCUCCAGCCUUCCAAACGGAGGAGGAGAAAACCCAAAUCCAGCCCACUUCAGCUAUCUUGUCCCACAUAAAGGGGGAGUGGAAGAAACGUGAGAAGCAGGCAUGAAGUUCACAGUCCGGAGGUACAGACACAUCAGAGUUCAGUAUCUGAUGAAUUAGAUGCAAAAUCCUCAACAAAGUAUUAGCAAA